GUGUGAUUUUAGUGGCAGACAGAGAGGCCUUGACAGGAUUUGCGAUGCCAUCAAUGCCAGGAAUUGCGUUGUGUGUCACAGAACCUAAUAGCCUUUCCCCGUGCAAGCCGUGAUUAUCGGUGGCUCAGGCAUGUCACUUUGGCACAGACCCACACGGGGCUGUCACAGGGCAUGUGUUGGGGUUAGUGUGUCAGGUGCUGGGGCUGAGAAGUGUCUCCUGUGGAAUUUGGGGGAAAUGGGAGCGGCCCCAGCUGAUGGUGUGGGUUGCCAUGCGACAGGACCGCUGUCUCCAAGUGCAGCACAGACCUGGCCUGCUCGCUGUGCUCCCCGUGGGCAGAGGCUGCGGCUUCCCUGCCUCAGCGAACCAGAGGGAGACAGGGGUUAGGUUCUUCUGUCACACCCAUCCUGGCAGCAGCUGGCUCCCAGGAAAGAGGAUGGUGUGCCCUAUCCAUCCUGUGGUGCUGUGCAUGGAGAGAGACCCUGGCAUGCCCUCAGCACUACUAGACCAUGCAGUGCAGAAGAUGCUGGUGGGGGAGCAGCUUUUGUACACCAAUGAUGAUGCUGUCAGCAAUCAGGACAAGCCCUUGCAAACAGUCUGCAAUGAUGCUGGGAUCUGCAAAUGGUGCUCUCAAAUCAGAAAGAUGGAAACAAAUCCCUAAUGUACACAUAGAGAAGAUGGGCCUUUCUGCCACCAUCUUAAGACACGUCU
rnacentral:lncRNA from 1 species